rnacentral:rRNA from 1 species
GAGCAAACAGGAUUAGAUACCCUGGUAGUCCACGCCGUAAACGAUGUCGACUUGGAGGUUGUGCCCUUGAGGUGUGGCUUCCGGAGCUAACGCGUUAAGUCGACCGCCUGGGGAGUACGGCCGCAAGGUUAAAACUCAAAUGAAUUGACGGGGGCCCGCACAAGCGGUGGAGCAUGUGGUUUAAUUCGAUGCAACGCGAAGAACCUUACCUGGUCUUGACAUCCACGGAAGUUUUCAGAGAUGAGAAUGUGCCUUCGGGAACCGUGAGACAGGUGCUGCAUGGCUGUCGUCAGCUCGUGUUGUGAAAUGUUGGGUUAAGUCCCGCAACGAGCGCAACCCUUAUCCUUUGUUGCCAGCGGUCCGGCCGGGAACUCAAAGGAGACUGCCAGUGAUAAACUGGAGGAAGGUGGGGAUGACGUCAAGUCAUCAUGGCCCUUACGACCAGGGCUACACACGUGCUACAAUGGCGCAUACAAAGAGAAGCGACCUCGCGAGAGCAAGCGGACCUCAUAAAGUGCGUCGUAGUCCGGAUUGGAGUCUGCAACUCGACUCCAUGAAGUCGGAAUCGCUAGUAAUCGUGGAUCAGAAUGCCACGGUGAAUACGUUCCCGGGCCUUGUACACACCGCCCGUCACACCAUGGGAGUGGGUUGCAAAAGAAGUAGGUAGCUUAACCUUCGGGAGGGCGCUUACCACUUUGUGAUUCAUGACUGGGGUGAAGUCGUAACAAGGUAACCGUAGGGGAACCUGCGGUUGGAUCACCUCCUUACCUUAAAGAAGC